ACCCGAGCUCAUAUGCCCCAGGAAAAUGCCCCCUUUCAAAAUCGAUAUCCAACGGGGAAACUUUUAGUAAGAAUCGCACAAAAUGUUUUUUAACUUAUCGCGAUCGUUCUCUUCAGAAAUGAGCAAGUGAUACCGUGUUGUCUCCUUUUCCCCCGACGAUUUUACUCCCGACGGGAAUUGUGCUUGGACCUCUGAAGAAUCACCAACUGGAAACGAAAAGAAAUGGAAUAUCUACUACGAGCCUGCACCUUUCUCUACCUGGUGUUUCUAACGAGUGUUUCAAGUGACAAUGUGCUUCACAUUGGAGGUAUAUUCCCUAUCAACGGCAAGGGUGGAUGGCAAGGAGGUCAGGCUUGUGAGCCGGCGGCCAGUUUAGCCCUAGAAGAUGUCAACAAGAGGAAUGAUAUUCUUGCCGGGUAUACACUUCAGUUGCAUUGGAACGACAGCGAGUGUGAGCCGGGGCUUGCAGCGUCCGUAAUGUACAAUCUUUUGUACAACGACCCGCAGAAACUGAUGUUACUUGCAGGAUGUAGCACCGUCUGCACUACGGUCGCAGAGGCAGCCAAAAUGUGGAAUCUUGUCGUGCUUUGCUACGGGGCAAGUUCUCCCGCUCUGUCCGACAGAAACAGGUUCCCGACGUUAUUCCGCACACAUCCGUCCGCUACCGUCCAUAACCCGACGCGUAUCAAAUUGAUGAAGAAGUUCGGAUGGUCGAGGAUUGCAAUUUUGCAACAAGCAGAGGAAGUUUUCAUCUCUACUGUGGAAGAUUUAGAAAAUCGCUGCAAAGAGGCGGACAUCGAAAUCAUGACAAGGCAAAGUUUUCUAAGCGACCCGACUGAUGCCGUCCGUAACUUGCGUCGACAGGACGCAAGAAUCAUCGUCGGUUUGUUCUAUGUUGUGGCAGCACGGAAAGUCUUAUGCGAAAUCUAUAAAAAUCAACUCUACGGAAAACAAUACGUCUGGUUCUUCAUUGGUUGGUACGAGGAUAAUUGGUUCAAAGGCAAUUUUACUGACGACGGUGUCGACUGCUCGCCAAGGGAGAUGGAAAUCGCCGCCGAAGGACAUCUCACAACCGAGGCUCUAAUGUGGAAUCAGAACACAAAUCAACGCACCAUCUCUGGAAUGACUGUUGAUGACUUUCGCGUAAGGUUAGACGCAAAACUACGAGAGGGUAAAUAUAAUGAAUCACUAUCGAAAGGACUGUAUCCUGUGGGAUAUCAAGAAGCACCUCUUGCAUACGAUGCAGUUUGGGCUGUCGCUUUGGCUUUCAAUAAAACAAUGGAGAAAGCAUUAGAAAACAAAAGACGUCUAAAAGAUUUUACAUAUACUGAUAAAGCAAUUGCGGAUGAUAUAUACUCAGCAAUGAAUUCUACUAAGUUCCUAGGCAUCUCCGGAGAUGUCGCUUUCAGCUCGUACGGAGACAGAAUAGCAUUGACUCAAAUUGAACAGAUGAUUGGUCAAAAAUACGUAGUGUUGGGGUACUACGAGACUACCACUGACAACCUCACUUGGAUCAACAAGGAACAAUGGAUUGGUGGGAAGGUGCCGCAGGAUAGAACGAUCGUGAAGCGGGUACUUCGAACCCUCUCGAUUCCUCUAUGUAUUUGCAUGUGGACAAUCUCUAUCAUCGGAAUCCUGGUUGCCAUUUGCCUUAUUGCUUUCAACAUGUGCUACAGUCACAGGAGGGUAAUACAAACCUCCCACCCUAAGUGUAACACAAUCAUGCUUAUCGGGAUUGUCAUCUGUCUAUCAAGUGUGUUUCUCCUCGGAUUGGACGGGCAGUUCGUGUCCGAGGAUGUGUAUCCCUUCGUGUGCCAAGCCAGGGCCUGGUUUUUGUCCAUCGGAUUCACGCUUUCAUUCGGUGCCAUGUUCAGUAAAAUUUGGAGGGUCCACCGACUAACCACGAAAUCCAAGAGUGAACCGAAAAAGAAGAUCCAACCGUGGAAACUGUACAGGAUGGUAACCCUGCUUCUCCUCAUCGAUUUGUUCUUCCUCAUUCCAUGGCAAAUAUACGACCCACUCGCAAGGAGCCUCAUCGUUUUUCCCCUCGAAAAACCACUCUCGACGGACGACGAUAUCAGGAUAAGACCAGAGCUAGAACAUUGUGAAAGUGAAAAUCAUAUGCUUUGGCUUGGAUUGAUGGGAACUUACAAAGGUCUCGUCCUAGUAUUCGGACUAUUUCUAGCUUACGAAACGAGAAGUAUAAAAGUCAAACAGAUCAACGACUCCCGUUACGUUGGGAUGUCAAUUUACAAUGUUUUCGUAUUUUGCAUUAUUACUGCGCCUGUCACGUUAGUGAUCUCAACCCAGCAAGACGCCAGUUUUGCAUUCAUGGCGCUAUCGUUAAUUUUCUGCUGCUUCCUAUCCAUGGCUCUCAUUUUCGUGCCGAAGGUGAUAGAGGUUAUAAGACAUCCGAGAGACAAGUCGGAUUCAAAAUACAAUCCAGAUUUUGGAAUGUCCAAGGAGGAUGAAGAUCGAUAUAAUAAACUAUUAAUGGAAAACGAAGAAUUACAAAAAUUAAUUGCCCAGAAGGAAGAGCGCAUUCAUUUGCUGAAGCUUCGCCUGGCUGAGAGGGAUGCACUGAAAGGCGAAGACGGUUACAAAGGAGGCCUCGCGGAUACUUCUAAUUUGCUCACGCCAAGAAAAAAAUAAAUCAGCACUAAGGGACUAAGGCAUUCUAAAAUAUAAUAAAAACCCAUUCUAAUUUAUAAAAUCUACUUACUGCAAAAGUGGGACAUCUGCACGCAGGAACUGAAGUCAGAUUGAACGAUUUGCGUUCCUCUUUUGUUCAAUCAGAUUCCCUCGCAAAAAGCGUUUGACUCUAUACGGUAAAAUCUCGUUGUGGAUGUUCACUUUUCCACGACUGCCUCCUGUUCUUCUCCAGUAUUUGUAAGGAAAUACCACCGUUUAUUCGUUAUUGUACUUUUCGCAGUUAGAAAAAAUGUAUGAUAUUAGUGUAAAUAAUUGAUUGACGAGGUGCUUUUAGAAGUCCGGUACCUAAAUCAUAACUGUGAUGAAAGAAAUAAUGACCUCAUGAUCGAAACCAACUAAUUAGGUAGGUAUAGACAUUGACUGUCGAAGAACCAUUUCUUCUCACGUUCAGUUCUUAAUCCAAUUGUUAAUUUUCCUUCAGAUCAAGAAUAUCGAUCAAAAAUAUUGCAUUACAUAUCUGAAGCUCGUUGGUUCCUCCCACACGGAGAAAAACACUUCGUGCAUGGGACCUGAAGUUGAGGUCAUAUGGAUCUCUG